rnacentral:lncRNA from 1 species
ACCAACCAUUUUUGACAUCAACUAAAUAGUAAAUACUCCCUCCCAAGUCCCAUCCUUCAGCCAGUGUCAAGUGUCGCAUUCAUUUGGUCACACCCACGACAUUUAAGCUUUGUUUAGAUUAAGGGCGGCGUAACUGGGCCAAACGACUCCUGCAUUAUUUUUAGGUACCACUUCAAAAUAAUUAACAUUAAAAUAUAAGGAGAGUUCAAUUUCGACCGUACCUGGUUCUCGAAAUCAAAAGAACCGGCUGUGUAACCC